rnacentral:misc_RNA from 1 species
ACAAGUAAAAAGGUAUGUUUAUAAUGUGCAGGGUACUCCCUCUUGACGUACCAUACCCUGGGCGGGGCGUUCUUUGCACCGCCUGUCGACCACACCUGCCGUCCACCGACUGAUGCCCACACUGCCACCGUCAUCCUCCCACCUGUUACCGACCACAACAUCACCAGCUACUCUCCUAAGGACACCCAUCUAGCCACCGAUGCCAGCUGUAGUUACUUGGUACAGGAUCCUGCUACAGGGAACCUGAAGGAGGAGGCAUGCACUGACUGGGUCUUCGACAACUCUACUUUCAUUUACACGGUUACUUCUGAGUUCCAGUUGGUGUGUGACAGGAAGUACCUCCGGGCAACUUACCAGAGCAUGUACAUGUUUGGUGUACUAGUAGGAGCUGGCUUCAAUGGAUUCCUGGCGGACAGGUUCGGCCGCUUGACAAUGAUUACCAUAGCGUCCAUCGCAUAUACCAUCAUCAGUGUGGGUUCUGCCUGGUUGCCUACCUUAUCUACACUCAUAGCUGCGCGCUUCCUGCUGGGCAUAAUGCACCCAACAUCUCUACAAACUGGCUACAUCCUCAUAAUGGAGGUAACAGAAAUGAAGAUGAGGUCACGGAUUGGCAUUCUGCAGUUCAUUUCGUGGACGGCGGGCACGAUGCUCUGGGGCGGGUGGGCAUACCUGGUGAGGAACUGGCGAUGGUUGCAGACGAUGGUGUCUCUGCCUUGUCUCUUGUUCCUCCCUGCAUUGUGGAUAUUGGAGGAGUCCCCGCGGUGGUUGGUGGUGCGUGGGCAUCAUGACCGGGCUCUUCGGGUGUUGCAGAAGGCAGCUGCUUGGAAUAACGCGAGUCUUCCGCCCUCACAGGAACUACUGAGUAUCAUGAAGGAAAUAGAGUUGAAGUCAGCGUCCAGCAGUAGCAACGACGCUGAGAAGACGGUGAUGGAUAGGGUACAAGGGCUGCUGGCCCGUCUUGUCAUUCUCUUCAGGACAAGAAAGCUACGAAUCAUCACUUUGGUCAUGUUAAUACAAUACUUCGUCGUGGCUAUGAUCUCUUUUGGCCUUACGCUGGGAGCAGGUACUUUCAACGUUAACCCUUUCCUCUACAUGACCAUCGCGGGUAUUAUGGAGCUACCAGGAACCACGUUACUGAUUCCCUUGAUAAGUACCUACGGGCGGAAGAAAGUCACUACUAUCAGCUUCGCAUUGUGUGCUAUUUCCUUAAUGACUGAACCACUUCCAUCCAAAGAUUAUAAAUGGCUGUCAGUCACAUUGGUCAUGGUGGGAAAGAUGACCAGCAGCUGUGCAUUUAGCGCCGUAUUCCUCUACGCUUCCGAACUCUUCCCUACCGAGAUACGCACUCAGGGAAUGAGCUCUGCCAUGAUGUCCUCGCGUGCUGGUGCCAUAAUAGCCCCCUUCCUUAUGAGUGCCUUGAAUUCAACGUUUCCCUGGGCAAUUACGGUAGUGUUUGGGGCGUUGUCAUUAGUGGCCGCCGUGUCAUCAUUCCCUCUGCCAGAGACUCUCAACACUGACCUGCCAGACACCAUCACCGACCUGGAGGGCAAACGCAGCAUUACAUCAAAGAGAUGUUACAACAAGACUUUGGGAAAUUGAACUGCUCCAUAACAGAUGAAAAUGACAACUGGAGCAUGGAACGAAAGCUGUCAUCAGCACUAUCACUAUUGCCACCACCAAGAUGAGUUAAAGACCCUGGAAAUUAAGAGAUGCCAUCACAACU